rnacentral:lncRNA from 1 species
AGAGAACACACGCAAUUUUGUUACAUGGGAAUAUUGUGUUGUGCUGAGGUCUGGAGUAUGGAUCCCUUCACCCAGAGUUGACAAGCCGACAUCAGUCUCCAGAGUGAAUCCAAGGAGUGGACCCAAGACAUUUGUGUUCUGUGAUGUGGUGGCAUGUUACCUGUCAUCUCUGAUGCAUAACUCCUAAAGUGUUUGCGUCUGGGGCAGUUGUACAGAUUGCAAAGGAUAAUACUCAAGAUGUCCUCCAAGGCCAACUACUCAUCAGUUUAUUCAUGAGGAGCGUCAGAUAAUUAGGCAGCAGUCCAACAAUUAGGUUUUGUGGAACUUUUACUAUGUCAUCUAUUUAUUGGAAUUCCCUCUGGAUACCAGGACCCCCUCCAGCAGAGCUUAAAGUUAUAGUUACAGGAAGUACAAAUUCCGUAUGUGGAUCCCUGGAAGUGUGAUGAGAAGAACCACUGUUUCCAAGAUCUAUUUAUUCUAUUUAUCAGGCCUAUAAAAUCAUGUAAUGGCCAUGGCUUCAACUAGACUCCACAUCUUGAAUCACAGAACUCAACGAAUGGCAUCAACUACAAGCUGGUAUUCUGCUAUACAUUUAAGAGGCCAUUUUAAUAUUCUAUUAGUCUAGCAGCUUCUAAGUGAUGAGGGAUAUAGGGGGACUGGAGGAUCCCGUGCUCACUUCCUUUUCUGUAAAAGGAGCUCUUUGAUCCAAGGUGACAUGGUAUGGGAUCCAAUGACAAUAAAUCAGUUAUUCUGUGAACCCUGAUCAAAACUUGACUAAACUUUUGACAGUUAGGUUUUUUCCUGACCACAGACUCCUCCCCUUUCUUUUCUUAGAAAAUUUACAUUGGAAAACAGAUGUAAAUUUUCUCCAGCCUCUUGCAAGGUUUACAGUCCAGGACUUUGAGGUCCUGGGAGUCAUCCUUUUGAAAUACAAUCAUCAAAGAAGAUAGUGCUCCAAUCUCCUAGUCUCUGUGGGAGGGUGGGAACCUAACUUCAGUAAACUAAGCACCAAUUAGCAAACACAGAGGGGCUGAUCAUAUUGACCCACUUUCCCACUAAAAUGUCUAGUACUUUCCACCAGCUCACCACAGUGCUUAAAAACUCUCCUGUCUUUUGUUUUAGUAGAGUCCAAUCUCUUUCAUCUAUUGCAAUAGUGUUGAAUAAAGUCUUCC